rnacentral:rRNA from 1 species
UCAAGCGAAUAAGAGCAUAGGGUGGAUGCCAAGGCACCAUACGCCGAAGAAGGACGUGGCAAGCUGCGAAAAGCUACGGUGAGCCGCAAGCAGGCAUUGAUUCGUAGAUAUCCGAAUGGGGAAACCCGGCUAGAGUAAUGUCUAGUCAUCAUGAGAUGAAUACAUAGUCUCAUUGAAGGGCACCCGGGGAACUGAAACAUCUAAGUACCCGGAGGAAAAGAAAGAAACAUCGAUUUCCUGAGUAGCGGCGAGCGAAAGGGAAACAGGCCAAACCAGAGAGUUCGCUCUCUGGGGUUGUGGACCAGCAUAAAGGCAUUGAGGUAGGGUAGUAGAAGCGCGUUGGAAAGCGCCUCCAAAGAGGGUGAAAGACCCGUAGACGAAACCCGAAGACAGCCAGCUGGCACCAGAGUACCGCAGGACACGAGAAAUCCGGUGGGAAGCAGGAGGGACCACCCUCCAAGGCUAAAUACGACUUGGUGACCGAUAGCGCAUAGUACCGUGAGGGAAAGGUGAAAAGGACCCCGGGAGGGGAGUGAAAUAGAACCUGAAACCCUAUGUUUACAAGCAGAGGAAGCACGAUCUAGGUGCGACCUCGUACUUUUUGUAGAACGGACCGGCGAGUUACGAUAUGCAGCGAGGUUAAGGGCUAAGGGCCCGGAGCCGGAGCGAAAGCGAGUCUGAUAAGGGCGAAAUGAGUUGCAUGACGUAGACCCGAAACCGGGUGACCUAUCCAUGGCCAGGUUGAAGUGGGAGUAAAAUUCCAUGGAGGACCGAACCAGACGUCUGUUGAAAAAGGCGGGGAUGAGCUGUGGAUAGGGGAGAAAUUCCAAUCGAACCCGGAGAUAGCUGGUUCUCCUCGAAAUAGCUUUAGGGCUAGCCUCGUAUUAAAUUACUGGAGGUAGAGCACUGAAUGUGGGCGGGAGCCACAAAGCUUACCAAACACUAUCAAACUUCGAAUGCCAGAGAAUUGAUGUACGGGAGUCAGUCCGUGGGAGAUAAGUUUCACGGGCAAAAGGGGAACACCCCAGAUCGUCCGCUAAGGUCCCAAAGUGCAUGUUAAGUGGAAAAGGAUGUGGAAUUGCACAGACAACCAGGAUGUUGGCUUAGAAGCAGCCACUCAUUAAAAGAGUGCGUAAUAGCUCACUGGUCGAGUGAUUCUGCGCCGAAAAUUUAACGGGGCUAAACUAUACACCGAAGCUUAGGAUACCGCAAGGUAUGGUAGGAGAGCGUUCUGUACGGAGUGAAGUCGUAGCGAAAGCGGCGGUGGACUGUACAGAAGUGAGAAUGCCGGAAUAAGUAGCGAGAAUUAAGUGAGAAUCUUAAUGGCCGAAAGUCUAAGGUUUUUGGAGGAAGGUUCGUCCGCUCCAAGUAAGUCGGGAGCUAAGGUCAGGCCGAAAGGCGUAGCCGAUGCACAUACGGUUGAUAUUCCGUAACCAUCUGUAAUUUAAGCAAAGGGACACUUCAAAAGGGUGUGACCCGGGCGUUGGUUGACCCGGGCGUAAGGGACCGAAAUUAGAGUAGGGAAGCACACUUGGCUGAAGGCGAGAAAAGCUUUGCGUAUAGAAACAGAUGCCCGUACCGCAAACCGACACAGGUGGACAGGAAGAGAAUUCUAAGGCCAGCGGGAGAAGGGUAGUUAAGGAACUCGGCAAAUUGACUCCGUAACUUCGGAAUAAGGAGUGCUCGAAAGAGCCGCAGAGAAUAGGCCCAGGCGACUGUUUAGCAAAAACACAGGUCUCUGCCAAAUCGAAAGAUGAAGUAUAGGGGCUGACACCUGCCCGGUGCCGGAAGGUUAAGAGGAGGAGUGCAAGCUCCGAAUUGAAGCCCCGGUAAACGGCGGCCGUAACUAUAACGGUCCUAAGGUAGCGAAAUUCCUUGUCGGGUAAGUUCCGAC